UACGGAGGGUGCGAGCGUUGCUCGGAAUUAUUGGGCGUAAAGGGUAGGUAGGCGGUCUCAUUUGUCUGGGGUGAAAACCUUGGGCUUAACCUAAGAAGUGCCUCGGAAACGGUGGGACUUGAGUCCUAGAGAGGGUCGUGGAAUUCCCGGUGUAGCGGUGAAAUGCGUAGAUAUCAGGAGGAACACCAGCGGCGAAGGCGGCGGCCUGGAUAGGAACUGACGCUCAACUACGAAAGCGUGGGUAGCAAACAGG
rnacentral:rRNA from 1 species